GAUGAACGCUGGCGGCGUGCCUAAUACAUGCAAGUCGAGCGAACAGACGAGGAACUUGCUCCUCUGACGUUAGCGGCGGACGGGUGAGUAACACGUGGAUAACCUACCUAUAAGACUGGGAUAACUUCGGGAAACCGGAGCUAAUACCGGAUAAUAUAUUGAACCGCAUGGUUCAAUAGUGAAAGACGAUUUUGCUGUCACUGAUAGAUGGAUCCGCGCCGCAUUAGCUAGUUGGUAAGGUAACGGCUUACCAAGGCAACGAUCCGUAGCCGACCUGAGGGGGUGAUCGGCCACCCUGGAACUGAGACACGGUCCAGACUCCUACGGGAGGCAGCAGUAGGGAAUCUUCCGCAAUGGGCGAAAGCCUGACGGAGCAACGCCGCGUGGGUGAUGAAAGUCUUCGGAUCUUAAAACUCUGUUAUUAGGGAAGAACAAAUGUGUAAGUAACUAUGCACGUCUUGACGGUACCUUAUCAGAAAGCCACGGCUAACUACGUG
rnacentral:rRNA from 1 species